UGGGGCUGUCUGGGAGAGGGGCAGGGGCGGCGCUGGGUGGAGAAGCUGGCCGCCGUGUGACUCGUGGGGGAGCGCGUGUGAGCGCAGGGGCGCGCCUCGAGCCAGUACGCGCAGCUCCGGGAGAGGGGAGUGCGGUGGGCGGUUAGGCCGGCAGAGGGCGGGGAGGGCAGCCCGGACCUCCCACCAGCACAGCACCGAAGCACACGCUUCCCGCUGAGAUCCCAGGCCCUGCCGCCUCUUUGACUUGGAAAAGUAGGAAAGAGCCACGACCUCUCUCCUCUCGCAUUCCAGUGCUCCGUUUGCUCACCCUGACCAUGGCACCCGCAUAAGCCGUCUGUGUGUUCCAGAGAGGCCAGCCCUGCACGUGCUGUCCAUGAGCGUGCUUGGACCUAGGCAUAGGACCUAGCUGAGCGGGACAUUUACACGACUGCUGGGGUCGAGGGCAGAACAGGGGGAAACUGUGUUCUGGCGGAGGCACGGCACCCCCGGAGCACCCAGAGCCUGUGAGUAGAGCCAUAGGCUCUCUCCAGCCCACCCAUGAAGCCUGAUUCUGCACUUGGCGCAGGAUAUGGCAGUGAGCGGAUGGGUGAAGCAGCGGAUGGGUAGGAAGGGAGACACCAUGGGGGGAUGCAGGAAGAACACCGGGAUGCCGCAGGCAAAGAAGAAGAUGAAGUAGGGGAUGAAGAAGGCUCCUGCAGAAGAGAGAGAGGCAGGGCUGAGCCACACCCGGGCUCUUCCUCAGCCUCCAUCCUUUCAGACCCUCCUCCCCCAACAAACCCGCCCUCCACCAUCCUGUUCUUAAUCUUCCUCCUGACACUUCCCAAGGGCCCAAUCGGCUUCCUCCUGCCUGCGUGCCGUCCUGAGUGUUAGGCAGGCACAGGUGGGAAUGCUCUGAUCUGAACCCUACACAGAAUGAGAAAGACCUUGGAAGGGAAAUUAGUGAAAACUUAGGUGGAAAUUCUAAUAUAUGCACUAUUUAUUUUCUUAGUGUGCUUUACAAAUCUAGUCAAUAGAUUAUUUUUGGAAUAAACACAUGGCUUCUGUAUAACUUGA